AAUCAGACGUCGAGUCUCUGAGGACAGACUCAGAGUCCACCAAUGACGCUCGACUUCAGUGACGCAAUAGGCGGGUCAAGGCUUACUUCCUGUUUUUUUGUCUCUAUUUCAUAAUCAUUGAGGAAGACCGCAUGAUUUGGACUGGUAAGAAGAGCGACUGCCAGCUGGAUGUAGCUGACUGACUCCACCAGCCGGCAGCAGAGCAACGUAAAACACCGCAGAAGAAGGAAAGAUGAAGAAGAAGAAGAGCGCAUCUCAUCCAUAGACUGUUUAAGCUCUUCAUUUCUAGGCUAUAUAUUAUAUUUAUCUUCUGAUUCACCAUUUAGUUUAAAAUAUGUGUUAACUGUUGGUCUGAACAACUAGAGGACCACAAACAUCUUUCUACAUUUAUAAUAAAUGAAAAGAAAUCU